rnacentral:miRNA from 1 species
UCGCUGGGCUCAUCCUUGCUGGG